CCUACGGGGGGCUGCAGUGGGGAAUAUUGGACAAUGGGCGAAAGCCUGAUCCAGCCACGCCGCGUGAGUGAUGAAGGCCUUCGGGUCGUAAAGCUCUGUGGGGAGGGACGAAUGACCGGGUGAAGAGCCCGGAAUGACGGUACCUCCUUAGCAAGCACCGGCUAACUUCGUGCCAGCAGCCGCGGUAAUACGAAGGGUGCAAACGUUGCUCGGAAUCAUUGGGCGUAAAGCGCACGUAGGCGGCCUGUUAAGUCGGAUGUGAAAUCCCUCGGCUC
rnacentral:rRNA from 1 species